rnacentral:tRNA from 2 species
GACUUGGUAGCUCAGCUGGUAGAGCAUCUCCCUUUUAAGGAGAGGGUCCUGGGUUCGAACCCCAGCCAAGUCAC